rnacentral:rRNA from 1 species
AUGGAGUCCCCGCAGAAGAAGGCUGGAUCCAUGGAUGGCACUGGCAGCGAGAAGACGCCUCUUCCCCAUCUGCUGCCGGUGACCGUGGCGAAGAAGACGCCUUGUCCGGAUGUUGUCCGAGAGGUCAGCGAGUGGGUGCUCGUGACCGCCUUCUCCUUCGCCUUCGCCUUCGUGUUCUCCUUCGGCUUGGCCUACGCACUCGAGCUCUUCCACGUCCAGUGCAGCCAGUCCUCCCUCUUUCUUCGGUGCGGCCUGCUGACGGACGCGGAGGAAGCUGUGAUGAACGCCCUAGGUAUCGGGAUGCUGUGCUGCGUCGCGCUCCAGGCGGCCGCAGCGGCGCUGCGCUGCGUCUCCAGUGCCGCCGUCGCUGGGUCCGCCGUGCCCUUGCCUACCUCGCGCUCGCGCUCACCAUCGGCGGCCACUGCUUCUACGCCGCGCUAG